ACUACGGGUGGCUGCAGUGGGGAAUAUUGCACAAUGGGGGAAACCCUGAUGCAGCGACGCCGCGUGAGUGAAGAAGUAUUUCGGUACGUAAAGCUCUAUCAGCAGGGAAGAAAAUGACGGUACCUGACUAAGAAGCCCCGGCUAACUACGUGCCAGCAGCCGCGGUAAUACGAAGGGGGCAAGCGUGAUCCGGAUUUACUGGGUGUAAAGGGAGCGUAGACGGAAGCGCAAGUCUGGAGUGAAAUCCCAGGGCUUAACCAUGGAACUGCUUUGGAAACUGUGCAGCUAGAGUGCAGGAGAGGUAAGCGGAAUUCCUAGUUUAGCGGUGAAAUGCUUAGAUAUUAGGAGGAACACCAGUGGCGAAGGCGGCUUACUGGACUGUAACUGACGUUGAGGCUCGAAAGCGUGGGGAGCAAACAGGAUUAGAUACCCUUGUAGUC
rnacentral:rRNA from 1 species